CAAAGAAACCCUAUCCAGUCUCCUGUCUCCCAUCCCCAUCGGCAGAUCGCGCAGGCAGAGGCGGCAAGGGGCGACGGCGCGCCGCAUUGCCGCACGGCAGUCCCGCUCGAGCUCGACGCCGGGAGCCCGCGACACAGCGCAACCAGGAGCGAGCGCUGAGCAUCCGGCCAGGCGCGGGGAACGGUAGGCCGCUGGCGGCCCGCGCGCGGCACGCCUGCGCGGCCUGCACCCCUGUGACGGUGCUGCCAGGCAGGGUGCUAGCGUGCUCCUGCUGGCUGCUGCCGUGUUGGACUGAAUCGAGCCGAGGAGGUGCUAGUGCUGCAUAACUGCAGCCUGCAGGGGCCAGGGGGCCACAGCCAGCGCCCAGCACACCAGGAUAUGAGGGAAAAUGGAUGGGAGCCAUUACUCAAAAAGGUGAAAAUUUUCUGUGAGAAGAAUGAGAUUGAAGUGCCAAAUAUGGAUAAGGAAAUAAAUGUUAGAGGGACAUCCAGACGUAGAAAGCAAAAGGUAACAAACAUGCAUUACUAUCAUGUUCAGAUUUUUCUUGUCGUUAUUGAUGCCAUCUUGACUGAGCUGAAUCAUCAGUUUAGUGAAACUAGUUCAGAGUUAUUAGUUUGUAUGGCUUGUUUUAACCCAAGGAA